AAGAUUUGAAUGACGAAAACCUAUCUCGGCUUUAGCCUGCCAACAGGAGCAAUGUGGUCAUUUGGUGGGACACCACCUCCUGGAUGCUGCCUGGACCAUCAGCUUCAUGGGCUGCAUUGCUCUGAAAGGCUUUUCCACUUAGACUGACUUCCCUUCUUUAUCACCAGAUUCCUCUUGAGAUUCACCUUCACUGUUUCUGCCUCUGGACUAAAUGACUUCUGCAUCUAUGCCUUUCGCUUACCUACCCUCCCUGGAGUUGACCCACCGUGUUCCUCAGCUCAGUGGAUUCCAGUCUGCUCAUUCUCAUUACUAUGCCUCCUGGGCCACGGUGCGUGGGCAGCCACACCAGACACUGUCAUUCCUGAUCUGGAAACUGAAUAGUGGCAUGGAAAUCAUAAAAUAGCAGGAACAGACUGAAGGGGCAUAGGAGUUUCU